GUGCUCGCUUUGGCAGCACAUAUGCUAAAAUUGGAACCAUGCAGAGAAGAUUAACAUGGCCCCUGUGCAAGGAUGACACCCAAAUUCGUGAAGCGUUCCAUAUCAAA
rnacentral:snRNA from 1 species